rnacentral:rRNA from 1 species
GACGAACGCUGGCGGCGUGCCUAAUACAUGCAAGUCGAGCGAGACUCUUCGGAGUCUAGCGGCGGACGGGUGAGUAACACGUGGGCAACCUGCCUGUAAGACUGGGAUAACACCGGGAAACCGGUGCUAAUACCGGAUAAUCCUUUUCCUCCCAUGAGGAAAAGCUGAAAGUCGCUUUCGGCUGACACUUACAGAUGGGCCCGCGGCGCAUUAGCCAGUUGGUGUGGUAACGCCUCACCAAGGCGACGAUGCGUAGCCGACCUGAGGGGGUGAUCGGCCACACUGGGACUGAGACACGGCCCAGACUCCUACGGGAGGCAGCAGUAGGGAAUCUUCCACAAUGGACGAAAGUCUGAUGGAGCAACGCCGCGUGAGCGAUGAAGGCCUUCGGGUCGUAAAGCUCUGUUGUUAGGGAAGAACAGGUAUCGGAGUAACUGCCGGUACCUUGACGGUACCUAACCAGAAAGCCACGGCUAACUACGUGCCAGCAGCCGCCGUAAGAC